UGGAGCAGCACGGUAGCUCGUCGGGCUCAUAACCCGAAGGUCGCAGGUUCAAAUCCUGU
rnacentral:tRNA from 1 species